rnacentral:rRNA from 1 species
AAAGGCGCGCGAUACAGGGUGACAGCCCCGUACACAAAAGCGCAUGUGCUGUGAGCUCGAUGAGUAGGGCGGGACACGUGGUAUCCUGUCUGAAUAUGGGGGGACCAUCCUCCAAGGCUAAAUACUCCUGACUGACCGAUAGUGAACCAGUACCGUGAGGGAAAGGCGAAAAGAACCCCGGCGAGGGGAGUGAAAAAGAACCUGAAACCGUGUACGUACAAGCAGUGGGAGCACAGGUUUACCUGUGUGACUGCGUACCUU